rnacentral:rRNA from 1 species
GGGGGGAAAUUAAUAAAAUAUAAAUAAUAAAAAAAUUUUUAAUAUUGGGGGGUAUUAAAGUAUUUUUUUAAAAAAAAAUAAAUUAUUUUAUAGUAAAUUAGUAUUGUGAAAGAAAUUUGAAAUAAUUGAAAAUGAAUUAAUUAAAAAGUAAUUUUUAUUUAAUGUAUCUUGUGUAUCAGAGUUUAUUAAAAAAUAUUUUUUUUUUAGAAAAAUCUCGAAUUUAAAAGAGUUAAUUAAUUAUAAAAGUUAAUGUGGAAAAAUUAUUUUAAAUAAUUAAUUUGUAAUGAAAUGUUAAUCGUUUUUAAAUAUAUCUAGUUAUUUUAGAAAAAAAUUUAAUUUAAAAUUUAAAAAAUUUUAUUUUUAAUUAUAAUUAAAAAUAAAAUUUUUAAAAUUAAAUAUAUUAAGGGAUAAGCUUUAGUAUAAAAUUUUAUAAUAAAAUAAAAUUUAAUUAAAAGUUUUAAAAUUUAUAUUGUUUAAAAAUUAUAAUUUAUUAUAAAAAAUUUUAUUUUUAAUAAAAUUUAAUAAAAAUUUAAUUUUAUAUAAAAUAAUAAUAAAAAUAAUAAAAAAUUAAAAAUAAUGAUAAAAUUAGUAUAUUUAAUUUAAAAUAUAAUUUAAUUAAUAAUAAUUAAGUUAAAGGAAUUCGGCAAAAUUUUAUAUUCACUUGUUUAUCAAAAACAUGUCUUUUAGAAUAAUAAUUUAAAGUCUAAUCUGCCCACUGAUAAUAUAUUAAAGGGCUGCAGUAUAUUGACUGUACAAAGGUAGCAUAAUCAAUAGUCUUUUAAUUGAAGACUUGUAUGAAAGAUUUGAUGAAAUAUAAACUGUCUCUAAUUUAAUAAUAAAAUUUAAUUUUUUAGUUAAAAAGCUAAAAUAAUUUUAAAAGACGAGAAGACCCUAUAGAGUUUUAUAUUAAUUUUAUUUAAGAUUAUUUAUAAAAUUAAAAAUUAAAAAUAAAAUUAAUAUUUUGUUGGGGUGAUAAAAAAAUUAGUAUAACUUUUUUUAAAAAUUUAAACAUAAAUAAAUGAUUAAUUGAUCCAUUAAUUAUGAUUAAAAGAAAAAAUUACCUUAGGGAUAACAGCGUAAUAUUUUUUUUUAGUUCAAAUAAAAAAAAAAGUUUGCGACCUCGAUGUUGGAUUAAGAUAAAAUUUAAAUGCAAAAGUUUAAAAUUUUGAUCUGUUCGAUCAUUAAAAUCUUACAUGAUCUGAGUUCAAACCGGUGUAAGCCAGGUUGGUUUCUAUCUUUAGAUAAAGAAAAUAUUUUAGUACGAAAGGAUCAAAUAUUUUUAAUAAUUAAAAUUUAGUGAAUAAUAAUAAUAGUAAUUAAUAU